UACGGCCACCACGUUGAAAAGAACGGUUCCCAUACGAUCACCGAAGUUAAUCAACGUCGUGCCUGGUCAGAAACUAAAUGGGUGGCCGCUUGGGAAUACCAGGUGCUGCAAUC